rnacentral:rRNA from 1 species
UGGGGAAUUUUGGACAAUGGGGGAAACCCUGAUCCAGCCAUCCCGCGUGUGCGAUGAAGGCCUUCGGGUUGUAAAGCACUUUUGGCAGGAAAGAAACGUCAUGGGUUAAUACCCCGUGAAACUGACGGUACCUGCAGAAUAAGCACCGGCUAACUACGUGCCAGCAGCCGCGGUAAUACGUAGGGUGCAAGCGUUAAUCGGAAUUACUGGGCGUAAAGCGUGCGCAGGCGGUUCGGAAAGAAAGAUGUGAAAUCCCAGAGCUCAACUGUGGAACUGCAUUUUUAACUACCGGGCUAGAGUUUGUCCGAGGGAGGUGGUAUGUCGCGUGUAGUAGUGAAAUGCGUAGAUAUGCGGAGGAACACCUAUGGCGAAGGCAGCCUCCUGGGAUAACACUGACGCUCAUGCACGAAAGCGUGGGGAGCAAACAGG